GUUUGCUUCUCCGUUUGCAGGAGCUAGCCUGCUGCUUCGCUCAUUUUAUUUUCUUCGUUAAAUGCUAGUACUCGGUUUUUAUCCGAUUAUUUUCUGACCCUGUGUAGAAGAGCUCCACAUUUUACUAUAUUUACGUGCGGUGCUUAAGGAGUUAUUAUUAUUUGAUCCUUUCAUUUGCUUUUUUUAUAUUCGCUAACCUACGGCUUACAUGAGAGUGUGUGAGAGAGAUGUGAGAGAGACAGAGGCUAUGGAAAAGCUAGCAAGAUACUCUUCUUACUGUUUGGACAACAAAUAUAGGACCAGCUACAAUAAUAUUUGUUUUCUCUCGUAUUCUCUCUUGUUUUAAUGUUUCUUUUUUUGUGGUUUGAUAUUUAAAUGCCUAAGUGCUAGUAAAAAUCAUUUGUCUUUUAGUUAUGCUCAUCUUUACAGGAAUCUCUUGUUCAAGAUAGCUAGCUACUAGCGCUACCGAUGUCAACAAAUUAAAAACAGGUAUAUCGGACAACAAAUGCAUUUUUGGGUGUUUUUUUUUAAAUAAUAAAAGUGGAAAGUUAAUGCACAAACUAUUAAAAAUGCUAAAAUAAAACAAUAAAACAAAUCAAACAUUUGUAUGGGUGUGUGUGCAUUCCCUAUUUACAACAUCGUACACGCCACCAACUGUCUUGCGCUUGUAGUCUCGCCGGUUGAAAUACCCGUAUUGAGGGUUUUAGGUUCUUCCUUUCACAGCAAAAAGAUCGAUCCUUCGAUCAACGGAAAAAAUGCAACAUUAAAUCUGCCACUAGAACGCAUCACUAGCCAUCACAUCAUGCCAACCAACGUGCGGGAGAGAGAUCCUUCUUUGGGGAGAAUAGGAGGAGUUAAUCAUCGUCUACUUUUUCUCGUCCGGAUUGGGAUUCGGUUUCCCCACAAACUUGGCAUCGAGUUGGCCCGGUACCUAAAACAAAACAAGCAACAAUUUUGAAACCCCGUCCCAUGGUCCCGGGUUAGUGAUAGAGAAAGAGAGCGCGAUAUGAGGGUGGAUCGUAACCUUAGUUGGUUAUUAGCUUAGAAAAUGAUUUGAUACUGAAUGUCAGGAUAUGGUGUUAAGUAGUUCGUAUUGUGAAAAACAGCGUCUAAAGGCGUCCUGAAUGAAAAGAAAAAUGAUCAUAGCCAAAGCAUGUUUAUUCGACCCCUUAAUAAAGCUUCCUGACAACAUUUAACGAAAAGCAGUACCUAAUUAGUUCCCAAACAGCUAAUUCAGACGAAAACAGGAUUUAAAGAAAUUAAAAAUGGCUGAUAGAGAAGGAAAUUACUAAUCAUGGCAGCUGCUUGAUUCGCAAAAAAAUAUGAAUGACUAAGCACAUGAUCGUAGACAGGAAAACGUGAGACUUAUAAUGCACUUAACCCAUCAGAAUAGGAAGCAGCAGAAAAGACAAUAA